rnacentral:lncRNA from 1 species
CGAGUCCUCUAGGAUGGAUCAGGAUAUGGAUUCUCAACAGGGGCAGACCAACUAGGGAUCUGCCCCACCAGCAAGGACCAGGCAGAAGGGGUGGAAGGGAUGGAAGGGGAAUAGUAUUUGGGAGGGCAGGUAUUCGGUGAGUGAUGAGUCCAGAGUCCACCAGGCUCCUAGGAACAAUUCCGGGAUGCAGUGGUACGGUGGGGUUCUUACCAACUGCUCUGGGUGCAGCAGGUCCUCUAGGAUGGAUCAGGAUAUGGAGUCUUCACAGGAGCAGAGCAACUAGGGGUCUGCCCUAGCAGCAAGAACUGGAUUGAAAGACUUCACAGCAAAUGUCCGUUGCUUGGUCAUUCUGUUCCCUUUGCUGAUGGUCAGCGGCAUUACUGCUUCCUCCACAGUUUCCAGAGGUUUCAGAGGCAAAGGUGGUGAAUGAAUCAUUGAUCUGUACCAACAGCAAUGCCUGAAAAAGGCCAACCACUAUUAUUGUGAGUGCUGAAGAUAUUCCACACUGAGGGGUUGAAAGACACCUUAGAGUUUUCAUACAAUUCUUAGAUUAAGAGGAAUGUAAGAGCAACAAGCAGCGCAGAACUCCUCAACAGCACAAAGUCCUCAGGACAAUUCGUACUCAGAGCCAAGCCUGUCUGAAACACACUCAUGGCCACUGUAUUAACUGGUGGAUCGCAUUCAAUGAGUUCUAAAGUCAUUUGUUGUUCCUCCGGAAUGGCCCUCAGUGGUUCUCAACCUGUGGGCCCUGGCCCACUUGGCA